GCCAUCCUUUCCCUGUUGAAUUGCUUUGAUAAUUUUGUCAACAGUCAAUUGUUCAUGUCAGUGUGGGUCUACUUCUGAGCUCCACUCAUCUAUUUGUCUAUUCUUAGGUCAAUACCACACUAUUUAAAUAGCUAGCUUUACAGUAAAACUUGAUGUUAGGUAGUGUAAGCUCUCCAACUUUUUCUUCUUUUCCUAAAUUGUUUUGCCUAUUCUAAGUCUCUACAUUUCCAAAUUUUAAAAUUCAUUUGUCAAUUUAUAUUUGUUUUAAAUGAAAGCCUAUUGGGAUUGUGUUGAAGCCAUACUUCAGCUUAGGGGGAACUGACAUAUUAAUACUGAGUUGUCCAAUCCAUGAACAUAGUAUAUCUUUCCAUGUAUUUACAUCUUCUUUAAUUUCUCUCAGCAUCAUCUUGUGUUUUCAGUAUUGAUAUUGAAUAUUUCCCAUCUUUUAUUAAUCUGUUGCUAAUUAUCUUAUGUUUUUUGACACUAUUGUAAAUGGAAUUGGUUUUUUAAAUAUCAGUUCCCAAAUGUUUGGUGCUACUAUAUGAAAAUACAAUUGAUUUUUGUAUCUUGACCUUUCUUCAGAAGUGUUUUAAUGGGAUCUGAAAGAAGAAGUGAGAGAGGUUUAAUGAAUCAGCCUGUACCUGAACAGGAAGAGAGAAAAUGAACAGAAAGGGAACUGACAUGCAUCGAGUUCUCUAUCUGCAAAGCACUCUGCUGGAAAUUUUUCAUACUUAAUUUUCACAGCAACCCUGUGAAGUUGGUUGUUAUCCAUGUUUUACAGAUAAGGAAAGGAAGUGCUCCAGGACCCCACAGGUAGCAAGUGGCAGCCAGGAUUCAACCAGAGCUUUUGAGCCCUAAACCCUGCAUUCCUCUCGGUAUACAGCGCUGCCACGAUGCCGCAGAGCAAUAGCAUGUCAAGUGCUCGCAGGAUGGAUGCAUAAAGAGGUGGCAGCUUACAUCAAAGCCAGGUGACCUCCCGUCCAGCUCCUGCAGCCAGGAGGUGUGAGAUCCCUGGUGGGCACAUAGAGCUAAAGUUCUCCCACCUGUUCUUUCUAGGGCUUAAGCUGCCAUGAGCCAAUAGGCAUGGAUGGAUGUGAUAUCCACAGCAUGGUGAGCCAUGGGCAACAGGGGCAUGACCUAGUCCUGACCACACUGGGCCAGCACCAGGCCGGCCAUGCCUCCCCAGAGCCUCCCUGGUCUGGGAAGUUUGUGGGCAGGAUAGCAGAGCUGUGAGGAUCAGUUCCACCUUGCAGAUGAAAGAGUACCCUGAGGCCCAGACAGAACCCAAGUGCUGAGCCCGAGAAGCGAAAAUCAGCACUUGGGCUUUGUUCCCCAAACCUCUCCUAACAUGAGCAUCACCGGGGGCAAUUUUUCUAAAGCAGAUUCCCAGAUAACUUCCCCAGAGUUUCUGAUUCAGUAGGUCUGAGAUGCGGCUCAGGAAUCUGUGCUCUAAGCUGCCGAGUGAUUCUUCCAAUCAGGAUAUUCUGAGAAACAUGAAGUUACUGCUUCCUUAAGGGAUUAGGGAAAAACCUGCAGAUUGGAUGGGAAUGAAACAGACCUCCUACCAGAAGUGAGGUAAAGGUCGAAGCCUGUGCUCAGGCAAGCGAGCUGCGUGAGUACCUAAAAUGUGUAGGGGAUUCCCUCUUCGAUGAGUAAAACGGCCAGAGCUCGGCUCUUAGGAAGGUUAACUCCUGAAAUGUUGGGUGGGGUCAGGGAGGGACGCCAUGGAGAAAAGGGCUUGGCUAUGACUCUCAAAGCCUUCAAAGGAAAAUGCCCCCCUCUGGCUCCCCAGGAUAUGGCAGCACAAGACGUCCAGUGGGUAACUGGAAAGAAACCGUCCCAGGGCUCGUCACAAAUCACUGCCCAACCAAUGAAUCACAGGUUAUCUAGACAGGCUGAAUUCACCACCUUUGCCCAUUGGCCGCUUAGGUGCUGAGGCCGCAGGAUCUGCCAGCACAGGACCAUCAGUUCCCUCCCGUGCCUUAUUUACAUUUCAUUUUAUUAUUUUUUUAAAUUUUAUUUUAGAGACAUGGGGACUUGUGUCGCGCAGGCUGGAGUGCGGUGGCACAAUCACAGCUCACUGCAGCCUCCACCUCCUGAGCUCAAGAGAGCCUCCCACCUCAGCCUCCUGAGUAGCUAGAUUACAGGCACGUGUCACCACCCCUGGCUAAUUUUCUUUUAAUCUUUUGAGGCUGAUGUUCUGGUACGUGGGAAAGGAGAGGGAAAGGGGCUGCAGAAGAGAAUGAGAGAAAGGGAGGAAGGAAUUGAAGACAUUCAAGUGUGAGUGGGGAAAUGCAUAAAAGAGAAAAGGCUACGCAGGGCCAAGUGGACCCCUGAAAACACAGACACAGAGCAGGCACAUGCUGGUGGUGCAUGGCAGGGCGCUGUGCUGGGGGCUGUCCCGGCCUGGAGAGGGGCAGAGGGAUUGCAGUUGACAUGUCAACAAUCGCUCCUGAAUGGCAAGCCCGAGCCCUCCCCUCCACUCCUUCACUCCUGAAGUCCGGUCAAGAGGCUCCAGGCUCUUUUUUGUUACCUUUUUCCGCACCACUGGUUGCCCUGGCAACAGCCGCAGCUGGCCCGUCUCCCAAAUCACAAGCUGUAAUGAGAAUCUCAGGCAGGUUUGUUCUGCUCUGCUGGCUCGCAGACAAUAGGUGGAACGCUGGCCCACAGCUGUGGUUUCAGAACCUGUCCCCGAGGAUGCCCCGCAAGUAAGGGGAGGGAACAGGGUCUGGGAGGAAAGGUGAGAAAGGGCUCAGCUAAGAGAGAAGGCAGCGGAGGAAACAGGAAUGUCCUGGAACUUCCCUACCACCACCUCUGGGACAAACCGGCUGGAUGGGAGUGCACAGUGGAUGGAUCCAUAGCUGAAUACACAGCAGCACCUAAAGGAAGUGUCUGCCCAGCCCCCAGCCUGCGCCUGCGCCUCCACUGUUCUCACCCAGCGGCUUCAGUGAAAACACGCUGUCCAGAUCCACAAAUGACCCAAAGCUUCCAGGGAGAGCAAAUGUGCUGCAGGCGACAGAGCUGGUAUUCAUAAAAGAGACCAUAUUCGAUUGGAACAGUGGGCGGAAACUAAUAAUUUUGAGAAAGAUAUAGGAAAAGUUGGCUGAACAGAAAUUGUCUCGAGAGGCCGGGCGCGGUAGCUCAGGCCUGUAAUCCUAGCACUUUGGAAGGCUGAGGCAGGUGGAUCACUUGAGGUUAGGAGUUUGAAACCAGCCUGACCGACAUGGUAGAACCCCGUCUGUACUAAAAAUACAAAAACAAAUGGCCAGGCAUGGUGGCGGGCACCUGUAAUCCCAGCUACUUGGGAGGCUGAGGCAGGAGAAUUGUUUGAACCCAGGAGGUGGAGGUUGCAGUGAGCCAAGAUCACGCCACUUCACUCCAGCCAGAGCGAGACUCCGUCUCAAAAAAAAAAAAAGAAAAGAAAAAAGAAAUUGUCUCGAGAGUCCAAAUCACUCGCAAGCUCAGUGCACAUCAACAGGGACGCAGCAGCUUAGAACACAGACGCAAGCGGGAGGCACGUGUGCCAGUGUGUCACUGCAGCCCAUUCUUUGCCUGGUGGCUGAGCACCCCUCAGGCUGUGGGAGAUGAGUGAGCCGGAGCAGGGCUAGCAGC
rnacentral:lncRNA from 10 species